AAGUCGUAACAAGGUAACCGUAGGUGAACCUGCGGUUGGAUCAUUAGUGAACCUAAAGGGGCCGGUCAGUUUCGGCUGAUGCGGUCUCUGGCCCUCGGGCCUUUAACCCCUGUGAAUUGUUUGUUUGGCCUGUAAUGGGCCAAAAUAUUAAACAUUGUCUUGACUGUCUUAUCCUAAAAUCAAUUGAAACAACUUUUGACAACGGAUCUCUAGGCUCUC
rnacentral:misc_RNA from 1 species